CUGAGCAGCUGUGUGUGUGGGGGAGGGGGGCAUAAGAGCCUUCCUCAGGCCACUCAGAAGGCUGCACAAUCUCAAAUGAUUGUUCCCUGAAAUUUCCAGUCAGUAUAUUUGAAUGGCAGGGGGCCUGCUGAUGUCCUCCCAUUACAAGGCCAGGGAUGGGGCACAUGCCUGUACUUCAGCACUUAGGAGACUGAACCUGGAGGGUCGGGAGUUAAGGCCACUCUCUGUUAUGAUACAGGAUACUUCAUCCUAAAUCAGUACAAGUGAUGGACACUAACCCUGACAGCUCCAGGACUUCCACUGACGAUGCUCCCUGGGCUUUCUGCUGGAUGCUAUGGACCAAGUAUGUCCUUUCCCUUCCACAAUGGCUGUGACAUCCCUUCACUAAAAACCGACUCAUUUGAGAAGUUGAAAGAGAAGAGAAAAAAGAGACAGAGAACAAGGCAUUUCCUCAAGAAAACCUAAGAACAAACAGUGCCGUAAAGGAGAAGGAUCAUCGUUCCAGUAUGCUUAAUUUCGACCCAAACCCUAUGACCAGCAGGAACAUCCAGGCACCGUCUGAUAGAGCACCCCAUUAAAACACCCCUCAACCCACACAUCAUGGCUGUGUCUCCUCCAGGAAGACAAGUACGUAUUAAAUUGACCAGCUAACACAUAUUCAUUUUGUGUGAUUCCCAGAGCCCUCACAGAUUUGAUUCGGACCACAGUCUGUUUUUGCUCAUCCGUGUCUAUGGUUGUAGUUCAGUGCUAUCAGCCAGAUGUAGAUAAGCUAUGCGGAGUUCAGAAAUGUAAAUGGCAUCACGGAAUUGUCACGAGGUUUUGUGUGUGCGUGUGUGUGUACACACUGCACGCAUGCACGUGUACAUGCAGAGGCACAAGGUUGGCAGGAGUCUUCCUUGACGACACUCCACCUUGUCUUUGAAAUGAACCCAGAGAUCAGCCACACCGCCACCCUCGAUAGCCCAUCGGCUCCAGGGAUCCUGUGUUUCUACCUUUUGAGCCUAGGUCACUAUGUCCUCCUAGCAUUUACAUGGGUUCUGGAUAUCCACGUUUAGGUCCUAGGGCUUGUGUAGCUCACUGACCCAUCUUCCCAGCCUAAAGUCUUCUCUUCUGACCCUAAUCAGUGCAUUUUCUAGUACAUUGUAGCAGCCACUGUGGUUUGCAAUCUCAGUUAAGAAUCCACAUGAAUAUGCUGCAAACAAGGAAAAAUGGACCCUGAAGCCCCACACGAUCACUCACAGAGCAGCUGGGAGCUCAGGGGCUGAGAUGCCAUACUUCAUCCGUUCUUACCCACCGACCCCCCCCCCUCGUUUGGAGCCCUGCGCAACUAAAUCUUUCCAUGUCACUCCUUUCCCCAUCUUCGUCUGACUUGCCUAUUAAAUAUUUCCAAACCCAAGUAUCACAUGCCCUUUGUCCUUGAACACAGUUGUCUUCACAAACGCCCGAGUUUGCACAGAGUGAUCUCCCUUUGUGUUAACUGAAGUGGCAGGUUGCUCAUUACUUCCCGGGGCUUACGUGUUCAUAUGGAUUGCUAAAUGCCUUCCACAUUAUCCUCUGGUGGCUAUGCAGGCAAUUCUCGAUGACUCAACUGUAGCUGGUGCCAGGUACUGUGACUGAGAGCAGCACCUCCUCUUCCAUGGGGAAGCUUCUUCCUAACUGCCCUCUGCCCAGCUAAACAGCAGUUUCUACCCUGGGGCUUGACCAGGAUUCUCUUCCAUCGCUUUGAGAAUGUCAGAGUUUAAAACUUCAAAGGCACUAGAAGCUUUGUGCUUCCAACUUGAGAGGUCCUUGAUGUUUAUGCCCAGUUCCAUCACUUAGCGUCGGUCAUCACUUGGUCUGUAGGACCCUGGUCAUCUCUGUGCUCCACAAAGAAAAUUCUUCCCAAAUGUAUUGAAGAUAAGCUGAUGGAGUGUGGCAAGAAACAACAAUUAUCUUGGAAAUCUUGGUAAGACACAUCUCUGCCCUAAGAUGUUGUGGACGGGAUCCCACUGAAACCCAGGAUCCUCUGGCAAAGUAAGUAGUGCUAGAGUCACCUUUCUGUAUGUGUGCAAUCUGAUACAGAAGACACCAGGUGAAGAAAGCUACUGGAGAUGUUCAGUGAUCCUAGAGCUGACUCUGUGUGAGCUGAAUAAAGAACUUUGAAAACCCACAAAAGGGGCCAAGGAUACUUGGGGAAAGAGCAAGGGGUUAUGGGGAGAGAAAGACAUAGCACAGAGGGGCGAGUGGAGCUCUGCCAUACAGUUCCUUGGUGGUGGUUGUGGGGUGGGUGGGAGACCAGAGGCCACUUCUAAAAGAAAUAAAAGGCCAGAAAGACAAAACAAACAAAACUCUUGGGAGGGACAGGGUGCCUCACAGAGUUCCCAGAAGGUCAGGGGGCACUUAGGUUCUGACCAAUCGGAGCAGACCAACCUCCCUGAAUUCCAGGAGCACCGAGCAGGCUUCAGGAGAGCCACACAUCACUGGUGUCCUUUGGAAAGGAAGCUUGCGAUGAUGAUACUGGAUAUUUAUACUAAGAGAUUUCUAAGCAUAUCACUAGAGGUGCAGCUUGGCUUCUUUUAGGAGCCACCUUGGCUCCUUCAAACUGUGCAGAGUAGAAUAAGAACACAGAGGGAUGAUUUUAAAGCUGCAGUUGAUACACAAAAAGGAACCAGAACUUAGAGCUUGGAAAUGCUCCACCUAUCAAUAACACUUAUUUGAAGGAAAAAAAAAAACAAAGCAAGUAUGUUUGGAAAGCAACACUAAAGAUGUGGCCAAGAGACUGUGUGAUAAGGAGAUUAAUAGAGAUAGGAACCAAGGACUUUAUCAGCUAUCUCAACAAAGCCUAGAAAAGGAGAAAGGAUCAGAGCAGCAGAAACUCUGCCAGUUACAACUAAUGGAAACAGAAAAGGGCAACAGAGUCUUCACCACCAGACUGGAGGAUGGUCUAACUACAACAGAAUCUUCAAAACCAGUGCAGAAGGACUAUAGAGGCAAUUCAGAGUUUGCCCAGGUUUUACAUGCUACAAUGCAGUGUAUGUGGGUUCCAGGGGUAAUUCUUCCUCACUCCCAAACAGCAGGGCAAGUACCCAGAAGACCUCUGUGAACACAGCAACCCCACAGAGAACCAUAGCAUGAGAAGUACCACCAGGAGGGCGACAGGGUGAUCAUUGCUCCAAUGGCUUGAUUCUCUGAGAGUGAAGCCCCAAGGCAUCUCUGAUUCUCAUGCUCUUUGCUGUGCUGGGUUGGGGCUGCUUGGAACCCACCAUCUUUUCCUCCUUUUCUCUUUCUGCCUGUCAGGAUGGAAAUGUGUGUCCCAUGUUCAUCCUUCCCCUGUUUUUUGGAAGUGCUUAAUUUGUUUGGUUUCAGGCGGUUCACAGCUGAAGAGGAAUUCAGCCUCAGGUUCACUCUCACUCAUAUCUGAUUGACUUGGUAAUUAGACAAAACUUUGGACUCGAGAUUUUAGACUUGAUACUGAAGUAAGUUUAAGCAUUUGGGGUUGCUGGGAUGGGGAAAAGUUCACGCACGUGAGAAGGAUGUAAUUUUGAGGUAGACCAGGAAGAAGGCAAUCUCUGAAUGCUUUUGUCUCCCCAAAUGAUCUGCUGAGAUCGUAGCUACUGCUGUGAUGGUCUUAGGAAGUGAGGGAUUUGGAAGAUGGGAGAUAACAAGAGUAGAAACCUUACAAGUUCAAUAAGUGUCUUUACAAAGGAGACACCACAGAGCAAUUCUGUUCUUUGCCCACUUUGUGAGGACUAAGUGACAGGAUGACAGUCUAAAGGCCUGGGAGAAAGCCUUCUCAGAAUCAGUCCAGGGCUGUGUCCCCAUCUCAGCCUAAAGGGGAGGGGGAAUAAACUCCUGCUCCUCUUAAGUCAUUUGGUAUUUAUGACAGUGGCCCAAACAGACUAAGUCAUUGUUGCUGUGGAUUGAAUGCGUUGCAAGACUAACUACCAGUGCCUCUGAGGGGACCGUAAUUGAAAAUACAGGCCUUGCACAUGUCAAGAGUUUUGAGAGUGGAUCCUUAAUUCAAUGUGACUUAUGCUCUUAGGAGAAGAGGAAAGAUUAAAGAGAAGAUAAUGAUGCAUGGCACUCUGUUGAGGAAAUCAAUGCCAGGAAUGGCCCAGCCAACACCAGACGUUGGGAGAAGCAACUAAAUGGGUCUCAGAAUCUUGGCAGCUUUCGAUUUCUGACCUCCAGAACUGUUAGAAGGAGUCUGAUCCAGAGAAUGCCAUCUGGGAGAGGGCUGAAAGCGUGGAGCUCCGUCUCCUCACUUGAGACUGAAGAUGAGAUCAAAUUCCAGUGGCCGCAGAGCAAACAAGAUUAUCUCUUGGUCCAAAGGAAAAUGAAGAAUGAAAAUAAACUGUUCACUUCUGAAAGAGCCAUUUCCCCUUCCCAGUGUUUAAGAAAGUCGCUUUAUUCGGCAACAUCUUUCUAGUAGGAGGAAGAGAGGAGUUCAUCUUGAGUCAGAUGUGCCAACCACAUCGGUAAUCCCAGUACUCAUCGGCAGGAGGAUGCCCGAAAAUUCAAGUCCAGCCUGGUCUACACAGUGAGUGCUGAGCCAGCCAGAGCUACAUAGCAGGACUCUGUAUAAAAUCAAAACCAGCAAAGGAAAGAAACAUGUGCUCUGUCAUCCACAGGUUCGGAAGAUGCUUUUAAAAACAUACAAGACGAGCCAGGACAGAAAGAUGAAAGGCCUAGGGAAAUGGCUGCAAAGAUGAACACAUUCUUAAAAAGGAGGAAAGAUGGCUAGGGAAGAGAACCCGGGAAGGAUAAAGAGGGGAACCAAGAAAUAAAAAAAAAGAAAUAGAAAUACAAAGACAAGAGGGGGAAACUGAAACAUUAAGGAAAGAAAACACAUACAGGAAAAGACCAGUGAAUGGAGAAAAACUCUGCCUCGUAGCCCUGCCUUUCCUGGCCGUGACCACAGCACAGAAGAAUUCUAAAGUCCUUCCACAGUUCAAACCUGCAUGUUUCUUACUCAUCUUUUCUUUCUCUCAAAAUAUCAAAAGGACAAUCCACUCUGACCUAAUGGAAGCUCUUGCUGAUGUCCGAUUGCCUGCCUGCCUUGUACACACUGUUUCUCUUGGGUGACAGUCCUCUGUGGUAAGUAAACAAUACUGUAAUGAGCAACACAGUAAGUUCGAGAAAUACCCAGAUUGGAGGACUGGGGGAGAGAGUGGGCUGUGGGCACUUUCUAUUGCUUUGGCCUUCAACCUGAUGCCUCCAUUACUAAGAAUGGAUCUUGAUGUCCCUUUUCAAGGUGUUGCAUUAGCAAGCAUACGGUGACUGUCCAGACUGCCCACCUACACUGCCCACCUAAAUGAACUUUAAAUGCGAAUUUCCAGCUACCAAAGUGUCCCUGGGCUGCUUGUCACUGUUUCCACAUAUCUGUAUAUAUGCACAUAUACAGGAAAGGGAAAAAGAUAUUCAAUGAGAUGAAAUAUUCACUUUAAUUAUUAAGUUCUUAUAAAGGGUAAUGGGCUCUUUGUACUAUCCCUGCAACUUUUCUAUAAUUUAAAAAAAUAUAUAAUGAAGUAGGAAGCUCUGAAAAGUUAUCACAGAAUGGAGAGACUAACCAGUUCCUUAAACAAACAGCCUAUUGUGUGCUUAACCACUCCUGACCACGCUGACAUCAAAGUUUUCAUCCUGCCAUUAGCAGAAUGCAGAGUGGAACAGGAAGGCAAAGGGUCCGGUGUGUGCUUUGGAAGCUUCCUGUCGGCUUUCAGGAGUGAUUGCAAGCCCUGUCAUCACUUGAAGGCACCAUUUCUCUAUCUUAAAAAAUCUCAAGCUUCAAACAAAAAUCUUUUGUUCCCAGUUCUAAUCAGCUUGACUCGGUGUGUCGACAGCUGCUGCCGAGGACCAAGAACUAAAGUCGAGGAGGGAAGCUGGGACUCUCCAGGUGGCUAGGUGUCCCCAGUUGUGGGAGACACUGGCAACACAUUCCUCAGUGGCACGGCAAGCUCGAUGCUUUAUGGUUUCUCCUGGCAGUUUGGGAAGGCUCUCCCAAGCCCUGAGGGACAUGAUGUUGAAUUACCUCUCAGAAAGCCAGCAGUGGUAUUUUUCGGUCAUGGCCAGAUUAUACGCACAGGCAUGGAUCACACCUUCUCACGAAAGUGAGUUUCUGGGGCUCAUGACUCAUUGUGUCUUCUAUUCAGAUAGGUAGCUUAUUGUGUUUGGCUGAGACACAAAAACAGGUGGCUUAACUGGUGGCACAAACAUGUGGUCUUUGUCCAUAGCCCAAAGGUGAUCACCUGCUGGGUCCUCUAUGGAAUUUCCACUCCCUGUGAGAAUCAAAAACAUAAUUGGGGGGAAAAAAAGAUGCUGAGAUGCUGUUGUUCUCCAGGUGUUUCUUUGAGUUGGCCAACUUCCGCCCUCUCUGUUGUGUUUCCCAGGGAUGGGAGGUUUGCACUGGGCUGGUAAGUAGUGGGGUAAGCCUAGAUCAGUGAAAGGGAAGCAAUGCAACCAGUUAGACUGGAGAUCUUGUUCUGGGCUCCCUAGACAACUUCCCAUCUGUCUCAAGAGUGGAUCCUUCGAGGAGUCAGUACAGGAUGGAGAUGCCUCAUCCGUUCAUCAGCCUGCACCUUGCCCUACGUUUUAGCAUCUGCUGAUUAAUGUGCCAUUCAAGAGAAUCUUCUGUAUUUCACUGAUCCCAUCUGCUCUUCUCCUGUAUAUCUGUAAAACUGAGGCAGUUCUAUCUGCUCCUACCCAAGGCUGAGUAUCAAUGUAACUUUUAUGUUGUGUGUUUCUUGUUCUGUGUUGCGUUUACAUGUUUGUAAGUGCAUGCACACAUGGAGUCCAGGGGUCCACCUCAACUGUCUUCCUCAAUUGUCUACACCCUAUUUUUUUUGAGGCAGUCUGAUAGGGGAUGUCCUUCUGUGAAUAUGCUUCUCUUAUUGGUUGAUGAAUAAAACA